AAAAGGUGGCUAUGCUACCGCUUUUGGAUGGGCCCGCGGCGCAUUAGCUAGUUGGUGGGGUAAAGGCUUACCAAGGCAAUGAUGCGUAGCCGAACUGAGAGGUUGAUCGGCCACAUUGGGACUGAGACACGGCCCAAACUCCUACGGGAGGCAGCAGUAGGGAAUCUUCCACAAUGGGCGAAAGCCUGAUGGAGCAACGCCGCGUGGGUGAAGAAGGUCUUCGGAUCGUAAAACCCUGUUGUUAGAGAAGAAAGUGCGUGAGAGUAACUGUUCACGUUUCGACGGUAUCUAACCAGAAAGCCACGGCUAACUACGUGCCAGCAGCCGCGGUAAUACGUAGGUGGCAAGCGUUGUCCGGAUUUAUUGGGCGUAAAGGGAACGCAGGCGGUCUUUUAAGUCUGAUGUGAAAGCCUUCGGCUUAACCGGAGUAGUGCAUUGGAAACUGGGAGACUUGAGUGCAGAAGAGGAGAGUGGAACUCCAUGUGUAGCGGUGAAAUGCGUAGAUAUAUGGAAGAACACCAGUGGCGAAAGCGGCUCUCUGGUCUGUAACUGACGCUGAGGUUCGAAAGCGUGGGUAGCAAACAGGAUUAGAUACCCUGGUAGUCCACGCCGUAAACGAUGAAUGCUAAGUGUUGGAGGGUUUCCGCCCUUCA
rnacentral:rRNA from 1 species